UAGCUAGUUGGUAGGGUAAAGGCCUACCAAGGCGACGAUCGGUAGCUGGUCUGAGAGGAUGACCAGCCACACUGGAACUGAGACACGGUCCAGACUCCUACGGGAGGCAGCAGUGGGGAAUAUUGGACAAUGGGGGGAACCCUGAUCCAGCAAUGCCGCGUGUGUGAAGAAGGCCUGAGGGUUGUAAAGCACUUUCAGUGGGGAGGAGAGGACUUAGGUUAAGAGCUGGUGAAUUGGACGUUACCCACAAAAGAAGCACCGGCUAACUCCGUGCCAGCAGCCGCGGUAAUACGGAGGGUGCGAGCGUUAAUCGGAAUUACUGGGCGUAAAGGGUGCGUAGGUGGUUAUGUAAGUUAUCUGUGAAAGCCCUGGGCUCAACCUGGGAAUGUCAGAUAGUACUGCGUGACUUGAGUAUAGGAGAGGGUAGUGGAAUUUCCGGUGUAGCGGUGAAAUGCGUAGAGAUCGGAAGGAACACCAGUGGCGAAGGCGGCUACCUGGCCUGAUACUGACACUGAGGCACGAAAGCGUGGGGAGCAAACAGGAUUAGAUACCCUGGUAGUCCACGCUGUAAACGAUGUCAACUAGCUGUUGGCCUUAUGAAUGAGGUUAGUGGCGC
rnacentral:rRNA from 1 species